rnacentral:rRNA from 1 species
ACACGACUACAUUAGAUACCCGGGUAGUCCCAGCCGUAAACGAUACUCGCUAGGUGUCGGCCACGGUGCGACCGUUGUCGGUGCCGUAGGGAAGCCGUGAAGCGAGCCACCUGGGAAGUACGGCCGCAAGGCUGAAACUUAAAGGAAUUGGCGGGGGAGCACCACAACGGGUGGAGCUUGCGGUUUAAUUGGAUUCAACGCCGGAAAUCUUACCGGGACCGACAGCAACAUGAAGGCCAGGCUGAAGACUUUGCCGGAUUAGCUG